rnacentral:rRNA from 1 species
GACGAACGCUGGCGGCGUGCUUAACACAUGCAAGUCGAACGGAAAGGCCUGCUUUCCCUUGUGGAUUGCGGGUGCUCGAGUGGCGAACGGGUGAGUAACACGUGAGUGAUCUGCCCCCAACUUGGGUAUAAGCCUGGGAAACUGGGUCUAAUUCCCGAUAGGACUGCAGGGUGGUGCCUGUGGUGGAAAACGAUUUUCUAGUGGUUGGGGAUGAGCUCGCGGCCUAUCAGCUUGUUGGUGGGGUAAUGGCCUACCAAGGCGGCGACGGGUAGCCGGCCUGAGAGGGUGGACGGCCACAUUGGGACUGAGAUACGGCCCAGACGCCUACGGGAGGCAGCAGUGGGGAAUAUUGCACAAUGGGCGGAAGCCUGAUGCAGCGACGCCGCGUGGGGGAUGACGGCCUUCGGGUUGUAAACUCCUUUCGACCGAGAGGAAGCCACCUGGUUGGAAGGGUGGUGACGGUAGUGGUAGAAGAAGCACCGGCUAACUACGUG